rnacentral:rRNA from 1 species
AAAACUUUCAACAACGGAUCUCUUGGUUCUGGCAUCGAUGAAGAACGCAGCGAAAUGCGAUAAGUAAUGUGAAUUGCAGAAUUCCGCGAAUCAUCGAAUCUUUGAACGCACAUUGCGCCCUUUGGUAUUCCGAAGGGCAUGCCUGUUCGAGCGUCAUU